rnacentral:rRNA from 1 species
AGAGUUUGAUCCUGGCUCAGGAUGAACGCUAGCGGCGCGCUUAAUGCAUGCAAGUCGAGCGAUGAGGCCCUUUCGGGGGUACAUCAGCGGCAGACGGGUGAGUAACACGUGGAUGACCUGCCCCGAAGACGAGGAUAACGGAUGGAAACAUCUGCUAAUACUCGAUAGUCUUGUACGGUCGAAGGUACAAGUAAAGCUCCGGUGCUUCGGGAGGGGUCUGCGGCCUAUCAGCUAGUUGGUAGGGUAACGGCCUACCAAGGCGAAGACGGGUAGGGGGUGUGAGAGCACGACCCCCCACAAUGGGACUGAGACACGGCCCAUACUCCUACGGGAGGCAGCAGCAGGGAAUAUUGCACAAUGGACGGAAGUCUGAUGCAGCGACGCCGCGUGGAUGAUGAAGGCCCUCGGGCUGUAAAAUCCUUUUCAGGGGGACGAGGAAGGACGGUACCUUUGGAAUAAGCGUCGGCUAACUACGUGCCAGCAGCCGCGGUAAGACGUAGGACGCGAGCGUUAUCCGGAUUUACUGGGCGUAAAGCGUCUGUAGGCGGAGUGGAAAGUUGGGCGUGAAAGCUCCGGGCUCAACCCGGAGAGGACGUUCAAUACUACCAAACUAGAGGGCAUCAGAGGAGCGUGGAAUUUCCGGUGUAGCGGUAAAAUGCGCAGAUAUCGGAAGGAACACCAGUGGCGAAGGCGGCGCUCUGGGAUGCAACUGACGCUAAGAGACGAAAGCUAGGGGAGCGAACAGGAUUAGAGACCCUGGUAGUCCUAGCCGUAAACGAUGGAUGCUAGGUGUAGGGCCGGAAGGCUUUGUGCCGCAGCAAACGCGAUAAGCAUCCCGCCUGGGGACUACGGCCGCAAGGCUAAAACUCAAAGGAAUUGACGGG